rnacentral:tRNA from 1 species
GGGCUUGUGGUCUAGUGGUAUGAUUUUCCCUUAGCACUACUUGAGCGAUUCAAGUUAUAGCGUGGGAAAGGUCCUGGGUUCAAUUCCCAGCAAGUCCA